CCGUUGUGAUAAUUACAGCUCGACAUCUUACAUCAAACAAAGCAAGUGGGACUACUAAGCUCGUGUUGACAUGCAAAGCGGACGCCAAUCCUCCUGUCAAUACCUUCGUUUGGCUAUGCAACCAAACUGUAGUGUCUAACGACACCAACUACAGACUCACCGAGACUAUAUAUGAAGAUACAACACUAACCUCGAGCGUACUUGCGAUUCAAAACCCACUCUCCAAAUAUCAUUGUGUUUAUAAAUGCACCGCUCUAUCAGAAUACGACUCAAGAAGUGCAGAAUUCAAUUCACUUUAUUUGUAUUUUAUCCCGAAUCCACCAUCUGAUUUCAUCAUUCACCGAAAUCAGACGAGAUCUUCAUCUCUUUUCGUUGCCUGGCAACCAGGAUCAACAUUAGGCUCCACCCACUUGGCUCUAUAUCAUUGAUGGAGAGGGCAUCAUUUACUACUCAAACAACAUCUCCCUAACCGUAAUAGCUGACCAACAACAAGACAUCACAUGUGAAGCAUAUGGAGCAAGGCCAACUGCAGUAUUGGAAUGGCGUUUACCUGAUGAUAUAACAGUUGUUCAUCACGAUCAGUCUGAUGAUAUUCAAGACAGCUUUUACAUCUCUCAGAAAGCCGUGACAAUCACUCCCUCAAGGGAUGACCACGGAAAGAUUAUUCGCUGCAUCGCAUCACAUCAAGAACUAUCAAAAAACCUUCAAUGCACAGUAAAUAUGAAUGUACAUGUUCUUCCUAUGAGUGUGUUCCUCUUUCCAACUGGAGGUAUCCAGUCCCGGACAAGACUCAUUUACGUUCAAGAAGAUUCACCGACUUCAAUCACAUGUAGAAGUAUUGGGUCAUUCCCAGCCACUGAACUAUCC
rnacentral:lncRNA from 1 species